AAACCAACUGGCUGCUCAGUCUCUCAGUGGAGGAACUCAAAACUGUGCUACUAGAAAUUAUUAUGGUUCCUUUCAAAAUUGGGUUUGCUCUACAACUUUUAACUUCUAUUGCAAUACUGUGAAGCUAAGGAGGCAGAUUGUGAGGGUGCAGCUGAACUCCACCGUGGACAAUAUGAGUGAUGUUCAACUGAAGACACUUGUGUUACAGAAGUUACAGCAGACUCUAUCUGAUCUGAUGGUAGAUGGUGAGGUUACACUGACGUGGAGGAAGCAGCUGAAUGGAAAAGUCUUUCAGAAGAAAAUUGUUCCUUCACC